AAAAGAAUUCUGCGAGUUAGAGCGCAGAUUAAGUUGCUAGCGACGGGCAUUGAAGGUUUUAGAACCGAGAAAAUGAGCCGGUGGCGGGGAGCGCGUCCUCAGCGGCCAGGCCCGGCACGGGGCUCGGGCACUCGGGGACACACGGUGGUCGUCGCUGUGUCUCAGCAGGACCCUGUGCGCUGGAGAGCUUGGGGCCGCGAGUCGCGCAGCAAGGAGGCUUCUGGCUUCUCUAUUUUUAGCCUCUGAACGUUUUCCAAAAUAAUUACCAAAAGGAAAUACACACGCACACAUGGACCUAACACACAAAACGUCCUUCUGCGGGAAGCCAGCACUAGGAAAGAAAAAAAAAAAAAUCCGAAGUGAAAUUAUGACACAGGGUUUUGUAACCCGCGGUGGCGCGCUUCUGAAACCCGAGCCCGGCAGCGGCUUCUUAUCUGCACCGCGUUCCAGGAAGCAGCCGGCGUUUCGGCCGCGCAAGGGCAGCCGCCGCACGUAGGCAGCGUCCCCCAGCCCGGGACCCGCAGGAAUGCGAGGGGCAAGACAGAUCGCCGGAGGAGCAGGGGUCAGAAGUCAGUGUUUAACCACUCACUGGCUUUCGGUGAAGCCAGAAUGUUAGCAGCGAGUCGCGGUCGGGGGCCUUGGGGUUGCACACGCUUGCUCCAAGCACCGAGGCUCAGCUGAGCACAUGCACAACCCUCUCGAUGCAGCGGAAAGUCGUGUGGCUUAGGGCCGCACCCCGAAUUUCGCCGCACCCGCCGCUGUGCCAUUUACAACCCCCCACCCCGCCACUGCUGUCACGUAGCAAUCAAGAGUAAAGGUUAUCACAAAGUCUGUUCUUCGAAGGAAAGAGUUGGAAUCAAGGACUUCGGACGGGAGGAAGUUGGUAAGUUACCGCUUCCUCCCUCCUGUUUUCCUCUCCUUGUUUAACUUCUCACAAGAACAUGUGGCAGCGCUGCAGGUUAACUCAUCUUACAUAACUUCGGGGCCGUGUCAACUGUUCAGAAGAAAGAAAAACAAGUAUUCUCUUCUGUAGAAGUUGUAUUUAGAAACAGGCUCUGUUGUUUAGGACAAGUUCACUUGUGUUGCCUGAUCACUUGCAGCAGAAAAUCUUAGAACUGCUCCUCAAGCAACAAAAAGUAGGGGCUCCCAUUUCCAUCUUUCUUUCUUUUCUUUUUCUUUCUCUCUCUCUCCUUCCCUCCCUCCCUCCUUCCUCUCUCUCUCUUUCUUUCUUUCUGAUGGAGGCUUGCUCUGUCGCCCAGCUGCAGUGCAGUAGCACGAUCUCAGCUCACUGCAACCUCCGCCUCCCGGGUUCAAGCGAUUCCCCUGCCUUAGCCUCCCGAGUAGCUGGGACUACAGGUGCGCACCACCACGCCCAGCUAAUUUUUUGUAUGUUAGUAGAGAUGGGGUUUCACUAUGUUGGCCAGGAUGGUCUCGAUCUCCUAACUGCGUGAUCCGCCUGCCUCGGCCUCCCAAAGUGCUGGGAUUACAGGUGUGAGCCACUGUGCCCAGCCGGGCUCCCAUUUUUCUGAAUAUGAACUUCAAAAUAGUUUGAGGAGCCCAACAUGAGAGUAACUGGACAAUUGUCUUCCUCUGAGAAAACAAAAUGACAAACAACCAACAUGAAUCAAAUGAUGACUUGGUAUUUCAUUAAACACAACUCUUACAGCACCAGGAAGACAGUAGCCCAUUUUGUGCCAAGCGUAUUUACUCAGUUGGUGGCAAUAGGGGUUUGGAGAAUCUUGCAUUGUGGUUUGCUGGGGUCCACAAGCCACACAUCGGGUGUCUGGCCAUCCUGCAUGUCCAAAGGUGAACAAAGAAAUGCACUAAUAACCUAGAGACACAGGGACAAGAACAAGCCCAGUAAUACCCAUGUAGCCGUCUGCUAGAAUUGAAAGCCAGGUAUGGUGGGCUUCUACCCCACCCCAAUCACGACGUCCUAAUGAGGGCUACCAACUACCAAUUACCACACCUCCCCCCUGGCCUAGGGCCCUCAUCCUCCCCAAACAUCUCUGAGCAGAGUGGCAAUUAAGAGCACCCUGCUCUGUGGCUGGGAGCCUGGGAGCUGCCAGGGGCCAUAUCCUCCUACCACAGGGGAAGCUGGAUAGCAGAGGAGAUGGGGAGAUGGGAGAAGAAAGACUGAGUUCCCAGAGUCCUGAGACAGCAGUCCAGUGGCUCCCUGGCUGGGCACAGGGAGUCCCUUUUCCUGACUCGUUCAGUUCAAGCUGGGUCUGUUACUUGCCUCCAGAAGAGUUUUGAUACAGGUGUUGGCACCUUCUCAAUGCCCUGUCUCCAUGGUUGACCCACUUCCCUGACAGUGCCUUGAGCUCCUCCCCUGAUCUGGGCUGGUCCAGGCCCUUGCUGGGGGACGCCACGUGCUAGGGUAGACCAGAAGUCCCUUCUUGGAAGCCCUACUUCCUGUGGUUCUUAGAUGCCAUGUGGCUGACAUCUGGAGAGAGGGUGGACUAUGGACUCCCUCCCCACAUGAAAUCUAUGAAAGGCCAAAUAAGGUUUAAGAGGUCUGUUCUCAGCCCCUGACAACCUCCAGGACUCUCUAAGACUGCACGAACAAAAAUGAAGUAGUGCAUGGACCAAUGAGGUGAUAAGACCCCAGCGGAAAAAUUUUCUCCAAUAUUCCUCUAGGAAAGAGUCCUAGCAGCAAGAACAUUGGUCACGAGAUUGGCCAAGGGAUCAAUCAACUCUCUAGUCCCUUCCCGUGAUGUGAAAUGCGGUGUGGGCUGGAGCCCUUGUAUGCUUUGCCCCCAGUAGGCGGUUGCCUCCCUCACUGGGCACUGAGGCCAUAGGCCGCUUUGUUCUGCAGAGCCACGCCUGGCCUCUAGAGGAAUGGAUGUGACCUAGAGAUCUGGACUCAGAGCUGGGCAGAACCCUGGGGUGAUGCUUACUGAGCAGGAUGCCCAGGUUUGUGACUGUGUCUAUGAGAGGCCUUAAGGCAUGUAGGGGUCAUCUGGGGGAAAGGACGGCUGACUGAGUCAAGGUUGGCCUGGGUGGCUGCUUUGUUUUUGGGUCCAUGACAGCAGCCCUCUCUUCUCCUGAAGAGAUCUCCCUCCUCCAAUCAUAGUACCCCACCACCCUGGCCACAGGGAGGCCAUAUGAUCUGAGCUAGGCCUAUCAGAGGCCUUUCCUGGGAGUUUCUGAGUUCAAAGUGAGUGAAGAGCAUGACCCCUCUUUCCUGCUGGGGGGCCAUGCAGUUGGGAGCUGUCAUCAGGUGGAGCUGGUCUACAGGGACAGGCCCAAAGGAUGGAGCCACAUACCAGAGACUACAAACACAUGGUGGGGAGUGGAGUGUCCUGGCAGCCCUGUGACUCCGGCUCCCCUGUCUUUCCACAGUUUGGGGCUGAGAGCCAAUGAAGUUUCCUUUCGUCUAAGCUACUUUGGUUGACUUUCUGCCAUCACAAUACAGUCUUCGUGCACCCAGUAUUUCAGACUGCACUCAACUGCUAAGAUUCAAACUUCAACAAAAUGCAGAAUUUUAGUUGUUUACCUUUUUAGUUACAUGGACUCAAAAACAAGCAUCACCAUAACUUUCCACUGUGUGUGACAAUAUAAGAGUCAUAUCUUUGUGGCUCCAAAAAUGUUUAAAAAA
rnacentral:lncRNA from 1 species